rnacentral:lncRNA from 1 species
AGCAACUCUUGUCCAUUUAACGUGAUGUACCUCACAAAAUGACAUUCCAAACAUAGGAAUUACACGAGCCACCAAAGCGUCGAGAUUUAAGAAUUUCAUUACAGCACCAUUUCAUGUAUCUUUAAUAAAAAAAAAAAACGACAGAAAGACACAUGACAAGAACAUGACUCCAUGAAACAUCAUUAACUAUAGUCAUCUAUUUUAUAAUUAAAAGCAGUAAAACUUUCUUAAAAAAUGAGUCAGAAUCCUUGGAAGUGAAAACUUAUCACUAUGGCAGCCUAAUAAAGAUUAAGUUCAACCUUGAGGCCACUCAAAAAAAAGGCAUUUGGACUUUUUGUGAGCGCCAGUGUACGGACAAACUCUUGUUCCCUGACCUGAUGGGUCACAUCCAGCGAUUUACCUCCCUUACGAUACUCCAAAGGUGGUGAGGUGGAGGCCCUCAAAGUUGGGAUUCAACCUUUUAGAAAAAGGCAUUUGUGUAAGAGUAGCAACGGUCAAUAAUAAUGAGUAGGUUCCGUGACCUAUAUCUAUUUCAUCAAAGAUUGUGAACUUAAUUUCAAUGUCCUCACCUCAUCUCCUUCAGCCAUAUAGCCAUUCUUUAUUUUAUUUGUAAUCUAGAAAAUAACAAAAUUUCGAGUUAAACUCGAUUUCCCACAAUUUACCUGCCAUAAAUGCCAGACAAAUAAAUAAUUCAUAUAUCUUAUGUAGCUAAAACGAACAAAUAAUUCUUGAAAGCAAAAUAUAAGCCUCAUUUCAGAUUCAAAUGGAUAACAGACUUUCACAAAACUCAGUCAAUCCACGGAAAUUUUAACAGCCACUGGACAUUUGAAUCACCUCUCAGAGAAUCGACUAACCACUUCAUAUGAUCCAAUCUCUUCUCUCAAAACCUCUCAAAAGCCCCUGUAUCAAAUCCCAGUAAAAUGGAUUAUAUAGCCCCUUUGGGCCCUAUUAUUUUUUAUUAUAACAGGGGAAUAGUGUUUUUUUAUAAAAUGGAUGGUUGUAAAAGAAUGAAAAAAUUUCGAUGCAUGUGUAAUAUUAUUUUAUUGAAGAUUGUGGUGUUAAAAAUACGAGAGAGAAAAUUUUAAAUUAAUUUGAUGAUAUUGAAUGGGGGCAAAUGGGGCAUAAAUUUCCGAAUCACUAUCUCCCCAAAAAAAAAAAAAAUCUCAAAUAAUAUGCCGUUCUGUAGAAAUAACCCACAAACA